AAUGUUUUUGGGUGUGGUCGAGUUAUUAAGUUGCUUUUAGUACAGACACGUGGCAACAGGUAAAAGGGUGAGACAGGGAGAAAGGACAAAUAAUAUGACAAGAGGAUCCGAAGCCAUUUGAAUGCAGGAAACAUUAGUGUAAUUUAUCUAUGAAGGAGAAAGGGCAAAAACACCAUCUUAUUGCAAAAUUUACAUGGUAUUGGUACAAUGCCUUAUACGAUACACUUAUCUCAGUUAUCUGCAACACAACUAAAAUGUCUUUUUGAGUAAAUUCAGGUACACACCAUGAGUGAUGAUGAAACCUCUAGCUACUGAGACUUGAGCUAGCUAAUUUAAGCUUCUAUAACAUGGUUUACGAACUGUCAAAUAUCUGUAUUACUAACUACAAUGUCAAAUUUCGCAAACAAAACUCGGACUGUCUUCAUCAAUACGUGGAAAAUUCGACAAUCGCCCGACCAUAGUAUAUAUCUCUAACAUAUUUCAAACAUCAAACGUUUAAAACGAUACAAUCACUGUCUUCAUCGGACACCUUUAUACUACGCUUGUAGUGAGAAAGAUAAGUGUUGGCAGUGCCAAGGAGGGGCGUAGCAUCGUACUUGAUUCCCAUCUUCUUUCCUCCACAACCUUCCAAAGGGCACACUGCGUAAAAACUUGCAAAAACUCCUUAUGAAGCCGAUUUUGUUUUGGACAACGGUUGUUGGGCAUCGUGACAAAUCAGGCCCUCGUCUAAAAAACAGCGUCUGCUCUUCCGAACCCAAGAACAAUGGUUCCUUGAUAUCCUCGUCUAACAAUCAUAAUGGAUAUUCCUUCUACUUGUUGAACGCCACGCCCACUCUUGCAAGGUUCGUGUGCUCAUCCCCUAUUGGCCCUCUCACUGUCACCAGUUCAAGAGUACAACCCCGAAACUGUAAACGUCGAUCUUUCGUUAUUUUGUCGAUAGCGUACUCUGUAAUAAAGAAACAGUCACUUAAACCAUUUCGACCAAGAAAGAAAGGUAAAUCAAAAAGAAGCCUAACAAACGACAGUAAUAAUGUUUACGGACACAGAAUAAAUGGCAACAAGUUGUGAUUCCAACACUGCUUCUGUGGUUGGUUUUGUCGUUUAAUCCGUGUCGUAAGACUUAUUGAAGAAAGCACAUGAAGAAGAGACCUUAAACAGGAAAACAGAAGUUCGCUUACCAGGGAGCAAAUUGUACCCAAAUGAACAGCAACGCAGCACAUGGUUGUUGGCUCACUCCUCUUGGCAAAAUCUGGGCCAGCCCAAAAUCAGGCAAUCUUGGCUUGAACUCCGAGUCCAGGCAAAGAUAUUGCCGACUUUACGUCGCGGUGUGAAACUUAGCCGAGAAGAAAAAGUCAUGGGUGACAUGUAAAUAGGCCCUGGGCAGCUCCAACCGCGAUCUGAAGCCUUGUGGGCAAUCCAACAAUGACAGGACGAACCAAGCCAUCGAGAUUGAAGGUUCUGCUCUCAGUCUGCCUCUUCCAUGCAGCCACUUUCAAGAAUCUGAGUCUCCAAUAAUUUCAUACACAAGCCCAAUGAGGGUCCCUCACUGCAAGGCAACAUAUCAAUUUCACUCUGUUGGAGGGCCUGAUUGUGCCCAAAAUCUCCACUUCUGCCAAAACUCCUUCUCAGCUUUGGUCUAGUUUCCAUUGUUUCAAAUCCUCUUCACACAACAAACUCCUCCGAAUGGGUACCGUUGUGAUCCGGUAAAUUUUCCCGAGCCUCCGUUUCCAAUCAGGUUAUUUUUUUCGGUAUCCUUGGCAAAAUAUCCGCCUUGGUGAAUUUCAAGAUCUGAAAUGAGGUUAGUUCCACCCGGCAAGUUGUGCGGUUGAGCUUCUUCCUCUGUAGUCUAGACCACAAAGAAGGUCAAUAAAACAGUGACCAUGAAGAGAAUAACCGCGAAACCAGAAUUAUAGCAAGGACGCCUUGGUGAAGAAGGUUUUAGAUUCGAGGUUUGGUUAGGCAUUUCGGAGAUUUGAAAUCGGGUUCGUGGCACAAAGAUUGGAUUGUUCAAGAAACUGUGUUCGUAUGCCUAAGUUGUCAAACUCAUCUGGGAUUUCACUGUGAGUCGGGUAUGGACAGUAGUGGUUAGGCUCAAAGGCCUAGUUUGUGGAUUUGACCAGAAUUUGUUUUCGGAGAGUCUCAGAUUGAGAAGGUGAGGCAAGGAACCGAAAUGGGCUGGAAUCGGCGGCCAGAGAGCUGGUUUCCUUCGCGAGAUAAGCGUGGCUUAGCGACUUCCACACUCGAUUAUCAUUGGGAAUUCACCGGUAAGCGAAUUCCCAUAGAAACAGAGUGAGUGAUGGCCUGAGCAGACUUGUGAAUUCCAUUGGGAUUGGACCCGAAAAAUGGUUGUUGCUGGCCUUGAACACUACCAGACUCACCCAAGAAGCUGACUCCUAGGAAUCUCACCCGAAAACAUGUUGUUGCUGACUCCAACCGAGUCAGUUCCGAGCCCAACUCUCUUUGGUUAACCACCCGAAACGUGUUGUUACUCAGCAUCAACUCGACAAAUUGAACAGAGUGUACGCCAAUGGUAACCACCCCGAAAAAUUGUUUGUUGUACAGUGAAUCGUGCGCAAAAUAGGGCAACCUCCGAGAGAUUCAGGCAACUUUUCAUUGAGGUUGUUAGAGGAAGCCCACACACGAAUAGGGGUCUUGCCGCCACAAAUUUUCCGGCAAGUCGGUAACAUCAUUGUCGUACUCGAAAGCUUCCAGAGUUCGAAUGGAGGCAUAAUUACGGGCGUGGUCGUGAUGUCCCAUUCAAUGUGUGUGAAAACCCGAAAAUUCACCAGUGUUGGAAUUCGGCAUAUGCUUGGUGGGAUUGGCCGAAAAUUGAUUGGUGUGAAAAGUGGAAAGCUUCAAUAAUUUGUAAUUUUCCAAAAUCCUCGGGAUUGGACCUGUGAGAUUGUUCAUCGACAAAUCGAACUCCGUAAGGCCCCAAUGACUCAAUAGGGGUCGGAAUUUCACCGGACAAUUGAUUUAUGUACAAAUACACAAUGCUCACAUUCUUCAAUUGGAACAAAGCCUUGGGAAUCGGGACCCUGUAAUAGGUUGUAAUGCGAGAUCCAAAUGCUCCAAGCUCGUUAAAUUCGAAAAACUAUCCGGAAUUCGCCCCGAUCAAGUUACAAUCAGCCAUACACAGAAUUGCAAUUUCGUCAUUUCUAAAAUCAAUUGGACUUUAGCCGGAAAAAACUGUCAUUAUAAGGCCAACCAGAUUCACUAGAUUCGCCAAGUCUCCAUUUCCGCCGGAAUAAGUACCGUAAACCUCGUUUGGUUACAAGUAGAGUGUUGAUCUACGGCAUGUUGUUUACGAUUUCCGGCGGGGACUGUUUAUCGCCGGAGAGAAAGAAGUUGUUGGCACUGACGUUCGAUGUACCGGAAGAUAAGAUGAUAAACGGUCGAACAUGUCGGAGGGGAUUGGGCCCACAAACCAGGGUUUGAAGAGGUCGAGGAUUGGAGAUGCGAAGACAAUUGUACAGAACCGUAGGGAGUUAGGGAAGCGACCGGGGGGAUGAAAUUGUAGGGGAGGUCAAGGUAAGUGAGGCCGUUUGAGGUAGCAUAUCGCGCGGUGGGACUUUUCCGGUGAUGGUCUGUUUGGACGAUGAGUUUCGUGACAUUGCCGGCGGUGCAGACGAUCUCGGCCAGUCGCACGGCGAAGACGAGGCAUUCACGCGCCAGACCAAGGCGGGUUGCUAGCUGCUGUUUGGACAGCAGGAGGGUCGUUUUUGCGUCGGAUUGGUGCGAAAACGAAAGGGCCAUGAGAUGAUUGAGGAGAUGAAGGGGGAAGUAUGGGUAUUUUGGACAUUUUGGUGUUUAUUUGUUUCAGACUUUCGGUUUUGAGGAGAGAGAGAGAUGAGUUAUUUUUGUUUGCAGGGAAACCAAUUGCUGACUUUCAAAGUUGAAACUCCGUGAGCUCUUUCAAUUCGUGUGAGGUCAAGCCCCACUUAUAUGAUGGAGUGUGUUAGUUUGCUCUAGUGUUUUUUUUUUAGAUUUUUCAAUUGGCUUGAUUUUCAAAUAUUUUAAUUUUUAGUGGUUUUUUUAAUCGUUUGAUCAAAAUUAUACAAUUUUCUAGUUUCUCUCGAAAAAAGAAUCUGAAAAUGUAUUAUUUUUUUUUAUCUCUUUCAAAAAAAAGUUCGCCAAAGACAAAAAAAAUAGUUAAUUUGUCGAGAAAUCGAGAAACUAUAAAAUCUUGAUUAAAUGGUGAAUUUUUUUUUAAAAACGAAAAAACUCGAUACCAAAAAGCUAAAAAAUCUGAAAAAAAGCUAGCCUAGCCUUGGUUUAAUAGAUGAAAAAACUAAAAAAACAAAAAAAAAUAUUUUUGUCUUGUUUUUUCCCAUAGAUAGGAGGGUAUUGGAGGAAGGAAAGCUACUAUUCGCAGCAUUAAGACCUGCAUACAAGCGUAAGUCAAUCCCUUGGUCGUUAAUUUUUUUUAUUUAUUCAAUAUUUCAUAUCAAACUAAAGGAGUUUAUUCAGUUUUUGAGAGUAAUAUUCUCUUUUCUCAAAUAACACCGGGCUCGGCUAUUGGUUGCAAGUGUGAAUUAAUUUUAAAUAGUAUAGUUGAGUCGAGUUAAGUUUGAAUGUGCAGUUCGCUUUUCCAUUAUAUUAUUAUUUUCCUUUGUGAACAAAAAUAUUUGUUUUCCUUCUUACUUUGAGGAGGAUGUUAUAUAAUUAAAACUCUUUUUAAUUGAUAUUUGUGAGGCAAAAUAUACUAAUUAAGAUGUAGGAGGAGGUGAAAAAAAACUAGAUAAAAUAGAAUUUUGCUAAAAUACAGAGGCGAAAACAAGGAGAACGUUGGAGAUGAAUACUUUUAAAAAUGUACCAUUAUUUUAAAUUUUGUUAACUAAUAAAUUUCCAUUAAAAAAUAUAUAUUAGAAAGGUAUUGAGGUAAGUAGUUCAAUACAAUUUGCCCCUUAAUGUUUCAAUUUUCUCACUUUGACCCUAAAUGUUAGUGUGUUUUUUUCAAUUUGCUUCAACAGCCUAAUUUCAUCCAAAAAUUCUAACGA
rnacentral:lncRNA from 1 species